UACGUAGGGGGCAAGCGUUGUCCGGAAUCAUUGGGCGUAAAGAGCGCGUAGGCGGCUUGGUAAGUCCGCUGUGAAAGUCCAGGGCUCAACCCUGGAAAGCCAGUGGAAACUGUCAAGCUAGAGUCCGGAAGAGGCGAGUGGAACUCCUGGUGUAGCGGUGAAAUGCGCAGAUAUCAGGAAGAACACCAAUGGCGAAGGCAGCUCGCUGGGACGGUACUGACGCUGAGACGCGAAAGCGUGGGGAGCAAACAGG
rnacentral:rRNA from 1 species